AGCCCAAGACCAUGAGAGUGGAACAGGGGAUAAUGUAGGCGCUGUGUGAAGCGAUAACGGCAGGGAGAUCGUUCUUACGAGCACUGUUAGGCAAACCUAUCACUGCUCAACAGUUGACAAUAUAUACUACGGAUGUAAUGGAGAUUUUUUCCUCUGGAAGAACGGAAACAAGACACAUUAACGUUUUUUUCGUACGGCUUUGGUUGAACUUUACAACGCAACAAACAUAAGAUAUUAUCCAACAGAGCAGUUCCACUGUAGCAUUUGCAGCGUAAGCACUUUUAAUAGUGAUAACUGAGCAAUUAUAGUAAUUGUUAUUAUUGAAACAACGACACUUAGGCAAAAAGACGGCAUAUAAUUUUAUUAUCUCAGCGUUAACCUUCACUUGGUAUAGAAAGUAGAACAACAACGCCGUAAAUUACCGCAAACAAAUUUAAAUAUUGCAAAUCUUAGCAUGUAAGCCGAAAGAUUCGCAUGUGAUUGUAGCUUAGUGUUGUGAGCACUUACUCUAUUUGAAAAAAAAAUCAUAUGUUUAGAAUAUUAUGAUGAAUAUGAAACAUAACACAUUGUAUAUAAACGCCUCCAUAUUGUGCUAUUAAUAUUGUAUUACCAAUUGCAACAAGAAGCAAUUCUUAUAUUUACAAAAAGAUGAAUAUUCGUUUCUGUAGCAUCCUAAAAAUUCAAAUUUGCAGAUUGUUCCCACUUAAAAAUCCUUUCACUUCAUAAGCAGUUCUACAACCUAGUAUUUCGAAACAAACUUAUCAAUAAAUAGGUAUACAGUAUCUUAAAAUUUAUCCUCCAUAUCAUCUAAUCAUUGAAUUUCGGCCAAAAGUGCCCGCACAUGCUCAAAAAAAAAAGAAUCGCUCUGGUACUCACCCUAACUAAACCCUUUUCAAACAAUCAAAUUGGAUAAUUCUAACUUGAGAUUUCGCUUCGAAAUUUAAAAAUUAAUGUUACAUUUACGAAAGAUAAACACCAUUUUUGCAGUAUGUACCUUUUCUGGUCGAAUGAAAUGUCGAAAAUCUAAACGCGUUGUAAGCUCAAAAUAAAAAAAAACAAUCUGUAGGAUUUGGAUUAGUUUCAACGGAGCUAGAAUAAGAAAAUUAAACGAUAUGAUAGAAGAUAUCGUGGAAUUGCUUCACUUUACCUUUUUUCAUAAAUAAAUUGAAAAUAAUCGUUUUGCAGCGUUAUCUAGUCUAUGUUAGUCUGCUUUCUCAAUCGUAUCAAGUUUAUUUCUUUCUCUAGACAUAAUAAACACAAGUCAAUGAAACAAUUUCUAUAACCGGAAAUUUACUUAAUUUUUCAUAUAUCCACUUUGGAACACAACAAAACCAAAUUGAGGAUUCUAAACAUAGAAAUAAUUCGAAGAAAAUCGGCUCUCAAACAAUGAUACGUAAAUAAAAUUUGUGUACGUUUGUUGAAUUUGUCAUAUUUUGUUAACCAUCAGCAUUUUGGUGAUGCACCCUAAUAAAAACAUUGCAAUGUCACGAAAUGACUCCAUUUCGUUCCGUUUUCAUAAAGAUAGGACUGAUGAACCGGGUUUAACAUUUCAAUCUUAGAACGCUCUAUGCAAAUGUUGGAAAUUUACAUAUAGAAAAAUUCUAAAACGCAAUCACGAAGAACAAAGAAGUUUGUUUUGGAAAAUUUUCGCAGAUUAAAACUUCUCGCUAUAUGACUAAAAUCUGUCAUUUUAUCCUUGUUAUUUUCUUCAAUGUUCAAUUUUUCUCUGGUAGUUUUAUCGAUCCGAAUUUCAACCCGAUCAUUAGAAUUUCUUUCCAUUUGUAAGUUUUUUCCUUUUUAAGUUUUCUUUGCAUUUGUUAACUUUUCACUAUAAAAAUGAUGCACAACGAGUAAGGAUUUGUUAUCGUUUAGGGAGUACUACAGAAAGUUGCACCACAUAUUUUCACAAAAGAUUGGAGAAAUCGUUGUUUUCGAACAGAAAAAGUAAUUAUUAUAAAAAAAAAUCAUAUUUAUUUCGUUAACAAUUCCUAUUCUCAUUGGCUGCUGAAAGUAACAUUUUAUGUCGGAUAACUACAAAUAAAAAAUCAACUCAAGAGCAAAGUAAAACAAAAUAUAAAAGUAAAAAAAAAUACCUUAUACAAUUAUAACAAGUAAAUGAGUGCGAAUUGAAUUACCUGGCUGUAGUAUGCAAAAAAGGCAUAUAUGGGAGGAGAACUGUAAGAAAGUGAUUUCAAUCAAAUAAGAACAGUAUCGGACACCUACGGACAAACACUCACACACAAAAUAUAUAGAAACAUAGAUGUGUGUGCACAGAUUGGGUUGUGUUAAAAGGUAAACACACUACGAUAAACCCUUAACAUUUAUGAGUAAUGAUAUAUAUUUAAAAUAAUAAAUUAUUCGAGCGAAUCCGAAA